AGUCCAGACUCCUACGGGAGGCAGCAGUGGGGAAUAUUGCACAAUGGGCGCAAGCCUGAUGCAGCCAUGCCGCGUGUAUGAAGAAGGCCUUCGGGUUGUAAAGUACUUUCAGCGGGGAGGAAGGGGUUAAGGUUAAUAACCUUAGCCAUUGGCGUUACCCGCAGAAGAAGCACCGGCUAACUCCGUGCCAGCAGCCGCGGUAAUACGGAGGGUGCAAGCGUUAAUCGGAAUUACUGGGCGUAAAGCGCACGCAGGCGGUCUGUCAAGUCGGAUGUGAAGUCCCCGGGCUCAACCUGGGAACUGCAUUCGAAACUGGCAGGCUGGAGUCUUGUAGAGGGGGGUAGAAUUCCAGGUGUAGCGGUGAAAUGCGUAGAGAUCUGGAGGAAUACCGGUGGCGAAGGCGGCCCCCUGGACAAAGACUGACGCUCAGGUGCGAAAGCGUGGGGAGCAAACAGGAUUAGAUACCCCAGUAAA
rnacentral:rRNA from 1 species